AAAUGCACAUGCUGUGAGCUCGAUGAGUAGGGCGGGACACGUGGUAUCCUGUCUGAAUAUGGGGGGACCAUCCUCCAAGGCUAAAUACUCCUGACUGACCGAUAGUGAACCAGUACCGUGAGGGAAAGGCGAAAAGAACCCCGGCGAGGGGAGUGAAAAAGAACCUGAAACCGUGUACGUACAAGCAGUGGGAGCACAGAGCAAUCUGUGUGACUGCGUACCUUUUGUAUAAUGGGUCAGCGACUUAUAUUCUGUAGCAAGGUUAACCGAAUAGGGGAGCCGAAGGGAAACCGAGUCUUAACCGGGCGUUAAGUUGCAGGGUAUAGACCCGAAACCCGGUGAUCUAGCCAUGGGCAGGUUGAAGGUUGGGUAACACUAACUGGAGGACCGAACCGACUAAUGUUGAAAAAUUAGCGGAUGACUUGUGGCUGGGGGUGAAAGGCCAAUCAAACCGGGAGAUAGCUGGUUCUCCCCGAAAGCUAUUUAGGUAGCGCCUCGUGAAUUCAUCUCCGGGGGUAGAGCACUGUUUCGGCAAGGGGGUCAUCCCGACUUACCAACCCGAUGCAAACUGCGAAUACCGGAGAAUGUUAUCACGGGAGACACACGGCGGGUGCUAACGUCCGUCGUGAAGAGGGAAACAACCCAGACCGCCAGCUAAGGUCCCAAAGUCAUGGUUAAGUGGGAAACGAUGUGGGAAGGCCCAGACAGCCAGGAUGUUGGCUUAGAAGCAGCCAUCAUUUAAAGAAAGCGUAAUAGCUCACUGGUCGAGUCGGCCUGCGCGGAAGAUGUAACGGGGCUAAACCAUGCACCGAAGCUGCGGCAGCGACACUGUGUGUUGUUGGGUAGGGGAGCGUUCUGUAAGCCUGUGAAGGUGUGCUGUGAGGCAUGCUGGAGGUAUCAGAAGUGCGAAUGCUGACAUAAGUAACGAUAAAGCGGGUGAAAAGCCCGCUCGCCGGAAGACCAAGGGUUCCUGUCCAACGUUAAUCGGGGCAGGGUGAGUCGACCCCUAAGGCGAGGCCGAAAGGCGUAGUCGAUGGGAAACAGGUUAAUAUUCCUGUACUUGGUGUUACUGCGAAGGGGGGACGGAGAAGGCUAUGUUGGCCGGGCGACGGUUGUCCCGGUUUAAGCGUGUAGGCUGGUUUUCCAGGCAAAUCCGGAAAAUCAAGGCUGAGGCGUGAUGACGAGGCACUACGGUGCUGAAGCAACAAAUGCCCUGCUUCCAGGAAAAGCCUCUAAGCAUCAGGUAACAUCAAAUCGUACCCCAAACCGACACAGGUGGUCAGGUAGAGAAUACCAAGGCGCUUGAGAGAACUCGGGUGAAGGAACUAGGCAAAAUGGUGCCGUAACUUCGGGAGAAGGCACGCUGAUAUGUAGGUGAAGUCCCUCGCGGAUGGAGCUGAAAUCAGUCGAAGAUACCAGCUGGCUGCAACUGUUUAUUAAAAACACAGCACUGUGCAAACACGAAAGUGGACGUAUACGGUGUGACGCCUGCCCGGUGCCGGAAGGUUAAUUGAUGGGGUCAGCGCAAGCGAAGCUCUUGAUCGAAGCCCCGGUAAACGGCGGCCGUAACUAUAACGGUCCUAAGGUAGCGAAAUUCCUUGUCGGGUAAGUUCCGACCUGCACGAAUGGCGUAAUGAUGGCCAGGCUGUCUCCACCCGAGACUCAGUGAAAUUGAACUCGCUGUGAAGAUGCAGUGUACCCGCGGCAAGACGGAAAGACCCCGUGAACCUUUACUAUAGCUUGACACUGAACAUUGAGCCUUGAUGUGUAGGAUAGGUGGGAGGCUUUGAAGUGUGGACGCCAGUCUGCAUGGAGCCGACCUUGAAAUACCACCCUUUAAUGUUUGAUGUUCUAACGUGGACCCGUGAUCCGGGUUGCGGACAGUGUCUGGUGGGUAGUUUGACUGGGGCGGUCUCCUCCUAAAGAGUAACGGAGGAGCACGAAGGUUGGCUAAUCCUGGUCGGACAUCAGGAGGUUAGUGCAAUGGCAUAAGCCAGCUUGACUGCGAGCGUGACGGCGCGAGCAGGUGCGAAAGCAGGUCAUAGUGAUCCGGUGGUUCUGAAUGGAAGGGCCAUCGCUCAACGGAUAAAAGGUACUCCGGGGAUAACAGGCUGAUACCGCCCAAGAGUUCAUAUCGACGGCGGUGUUUGGCACCUCGAUGUCGGCUCAUCACAUCCUGGGGCUGAAGUAGGUCCCAAGGGUAUGGCUGUUCGCCAUUUAAAGUGGUACGCGAGCUGGGUUUAGAACGUCGUGAGACAGUUCGGUCCCUAUCUGCCGUGGGCGCUGGAGAACUGAGGGGGGCUGCUCCUAGUACGAGAGGACCGGAGUGGACGCAUCACUGGUGUUCGGGUUGUCAUGCCAAUGGCACUGCCCGGUAGCUAAAUGCGGAAGAGAUAAGUGCUGAAAGCAUCUAAGCACGAAACUUGCCCCGAGAUGAGUUCUCCCUGACCCUUUAAGGGUCCUGAAGGAACGUUGAAGACGACGACGUUGAUAGGCCGGGUGUGUAAGCGCAGCGAUGCGUUGAGCUAACCGGUACUAAUGAACCGUGAGGCUUAACCUUACAACGCCGAAGGUGUUU
rnacentral:rRNA from 1 species